UACGUAGGGCGCAAGCGUUGUCCGGAAUUAUUGGGCGUAAAGAGCUCGUAGGCGGUUUGUCGCGUCGGCCGUGAAAACUUGGGGCUUAACUCCAAGCUUGCGGUCGAUACGGGCAGACUUGAGUUCGGCAGGGGAGACUGGAAUUCCUGGUGUAGCGGUGAAAUGCGCAGAUAUCAGGAGGAACACCGGUGGCGAAGGCGGGUCUCUGGGCCGAUACUGACGCUGAGGAGCGAAAGCGUGGGGAGCGAACAGG
rnacentral:rRNA from 1 species